UAAGGAAUAUUGGUCAAUGGGCGCAAGCCUGAUCCAGCCAUGCCGCGUGAGUGAUGAAGGCCUUAGGGUUGUAAAGCUCUUUCGCGCGCGACGAUAAUGACGGUAGCGCGAGAAGAAGCCCCGGCUAACUUCGUGCCAGCAGCCGCGGUAAUACGAAGGGGGCUAGCGUUGUUCGGAAUCACUGGGCGUAAAGCGCAUGCAGGCGGAUCGUUAAGUCGGGGGUGAAAUCCCGAGGCUCAACCUCGGAACUGCCUUCGAUACUGGCGAUCUUGAGUCCGGGAGAGGUGAGUGGAACUGCGAGUGUAGAGGUGAAAUUCGUAGAUAUUCGCAAGAACACCAGUGGCGAAGGCGGCUCACUGGCCCGGUACUGACGCUCAGGUGCGAAAGCGUGGGGAGCAAACA
rnacentral:rRNA from 1 species